ensembl:lncRNA
AAAGGAUUCAGACUACGGCGUUUAUAUGUUCAACAAUAGGAAACGCAGUCUUAGCUGUUUUUAAAUUACACCAAGUUUAUUUCGGAUUAUUCCAAGAAGAAUACAAGGCGCAGGGAACUUUAAGGUGCGUAAACGCCACUUAGAGGUGGGUAAACGCUAUUUAUUGCUGCGUAAACGCUAUUUCCAAAAUUCUAGAGGUGCGUAAACGGCGUUUACGUGCGUUUACCCUCCACUACAGCCCUGAGUACAAUAUUAAGUGGUAGUGUUGUAGAAGUAUGAAGCAUCAUUAAAUAAAAAUACCCAAGUAACAAACAAUACAAUGUUAACUCCAGUUUGUUCCAUCAGAAUAUUUAAACAUCUAGUUUGUUUUUCUCAGUAAAUACUUCACAUAUUUAAAGUAUUUUGGGUUUUUAGGACUUUACACCUGGUGAGGUCACUUUCACUCAGUGGCAGCUGGUGGAUUUUUUUGUUGGUAGGGCCAGCUUAUCAGUUUCAGUAAACAUCGCAGACAAGUGAAGUUUGUCAAAACUAAAAGCUGAUUAAAACAUAUUUGAGAUCAACAAUGUCCCAGGAGAGGCUGUUUGCACUCGCUGUUCUCUCCAUUGAGCAGGAAGUCAGUGGAUAUGGAUCCUCAUUGCAAGAUUUGCUGAAACCAAGGCUCGCAAAAUAAGAUUUUAAGGACAAAAGGGAGAAAAUACAAAGAAAAAGGGACAGGAAGAUGUGUAAAAGGGACAGAAGAGAAAAAGGGAGAGAGAUGAUGUGAAAAAGGGGCAGGAAGAGAGGGACAACAGGUAAAACAAAUAAUACAUGUGUCUUAUGUUUAAAAUGUAUCUGUAUAAUUGACCUGUAUUGUGUGUUGUCUUCUCAUGUCAGCGCCACAACAUAGAGGACAGCUUCUACUGGCUUGCUGCUACCCACCUCUGCCACCUGAGCUGUGUAAAGUAUGUGUUGGAGGAAACAUGAGAGAGUGUUAGGAGAGCGGCUCCGACCCCCAACGCAUGUGGCCAGGCAUCCAGGCCAUCAUGACCAUAAGGCAACCAACUCUACCCCCCGAAACAGUGACGCCUCCUUCCCUGACGAGCUGAGCAGCUUUUACGCUCGCGUCGACAGGGACAAUGAGGACGUGGCCUGUACAUCUCCUUGAAUGACAUGUUGCAGUAAAGUACAUUUACACCAUUUAAAGCCCUCAAAGACUCUCACACUAAACUUACCAGGGAGGAGAUGAUCUGCAGGAUCCUGGUGAUCUUCAUCCUGACCUCCUGUGUCUGUGCAGGGUCAUUUGUAGUCAAUGUGACACAGAGCUGGUAUCAUGCAGAGGAGAACCACAACGUCUCACUGGAAUGGAUGUUCCCCACCAGCACGGACCACUCCACCAACUCCCUUUAUGUCUCAUGCGAGAUGUUAGUUGAUAUGAUACCAUUACUCAUGUUUCAUCUACAUAAAGGUGUUGAGUUCCCAGAGUUGCAGGACAAACGCUUUGCAGGACGAGUCCAGUGGGACAAAGACGUCCUCGGAGAAGGACAACUCAGACUUCACAUCUCCAGACUCCAGACUAAUGACUCGGGGCUGUACUGGUGUGAAGUGGACACAAGUUAUGGGAGGAACUUUAAGGAAUGUCACCUCAACGUCACCGGUAGGUUCAUUAAGUUAAAUUUACUAACACGUUCAGCAACUUCAUUCAGAUACAUUUUUUUUUUCUUUACAUGAAUAAAAAAUAUUUCUCUGGUCUCUUUGCAGCAGUGAAGGAUCGGCCUGAGACAACAAGUGAUACGAGUCUGAGAAGAAGUCCUCAGGGAAUGAUCGGCCUCUACUCUGCACUGGGACUGACCGCUGUACUGGGUUUUUAUUUAUUUUAUCUCUGCAUGGCAAAAAAUAUUAGAGAUCAACACAACAAACGAACCACAUCUGUAUCUUGGACAUCUUGGAUCUUGUAAAGUGGACGUUACAAUUUAAUUGUGUUGUUGUGCAACUGGUCAGACCGGCCGUCUGAGGAACUAGCUUUUUCCCAGAGCUGUUACAUUACAUUACAGGUCACCCUUUUGAACUCUUUCCCCCCCCUCUGGUCCCCAUUACACUACUCUAUCUGCACUGAAGACACUUUAUACCAUUUGUUUACUCUCAAUUCAAUAUGCACUUAAUAUUUGCACUAGUUUAGCAACCCCUGAUGGUUUCUGUUUAUAUCUCCACAUUUAAUGUGAAUCUGUCUGUUUUGCCUAAUUUAUUACCAAAUAGUACCAUAGGCCAUAAGACAACCUCUGUAUAGUGUUUAAUGUAUCUAUG